GACGAACGCUGGCGGCGUGCCUAAUACAUGCAAGUUGAGCGCUGAAGGUUGGUACUUGUACCAACUGGAUGAGCAGCGAACGGGUGAGUAACGCGUGGGGAAUCUGCCUUUGAGCGGGGGACAACAUUUGGAAACGAAUGCUAAUACCGCAUAAAAACUUUAAACACAAGUUUUAAGUUUGAAAGAUGCAAUUGCAUCACUCAAAGAUGAUCCCGCGUUGUAUUAGCUAGUUGGUGAGGUAAAGGCUCACCAAGGCGAUGAUACAUAGCCGACCUGAGAGGGUGAUCGGCCACAUUGGGACUGAGACACGGCCCAUACUCCUACGGGAGGCAGCAGUAGGGAAUCUUCGGCAAUGGACGAAAGUCUGACCGAGCAACGCCGCGUGAGUGAAGAAGGGUUUCGGAUCGUAAAACUCUGUUGGUAGAGAAGAACGUUGGUGAGAGUGGAAAGCUCAUCAAGUGGCGGUAACUACCCAGAAAGGGACGGCUAACUACGUG
rnacentral:rRNA from 1 species